rnacentral:lncRNA from 10 species
UCUAUCUCAUCAGUCUUAGGGCUGGAAGAGAUGCAGCUCUGGGCUGGCUCUGAUGCGGACUUGUCACAAAGGCUUGGCAAUCUCCUGCCCUGGCAUUCAAGGCCUGCCUGUCUAGGAUCCUGUCUCUGCAGCUCUGCCCACGUGACCGUAUCCUUGGAAGAAAAAAAAAAUGGGGAUGCACAAAGUGACCAGCACAGGGUAUUCGUGAUGACCGGGGAACAGAGAUUGAGAAAGCAAGAGCCUUCCUGGCAAAUCUGGGUUCAGACGCGGCAGAGACAGCUGUUUCCAGCCACUGCUAUGAACCCAUCUAAGUGAAAUUGUGAGGACUAAGGAGAGAGGCACCCAUGACUGCCUUAAUCCACUCCUACCCAUCGUCUCUUCACCCAUCCACCCAUCCUUGCUGCAGACCUUUACUGGGCACCUGUGCCAGGAGACCAUCACUGCCCAUCAGAAGCUCAUACAGGGAGAAGCAGUGGCCACAGCAGAAGGCGUCCCGGGUCCUAGAGAGCACCUGGAGAACAAGGGAGAGCUGCAGAAACCGCCCUGUCUGCAUGUGUGCCCUCAUGUUCUUGGGUGCAUGUCUGUGUUUGUGUGUGUGUUUGCUUAUGUGCAUGUGCAGUGUGUGUGUGUUCGAGACAGAGCGAGACUGAGAGUGCAAGUGGGUGUAAGCACACACACCCACCCGUCAGCCCUGCCUGUCUGCUCAGAGUUUUGCCUGUCACCCGGCCACGCCCUGUGACCCCCCUCCUCGGCUGGGUGCAGCCAGGACACCUGUUGCCAGCUGCGAGCACCUGCCUGGUUGCUGCGCCCGUGUCCUGUGCAUGUUCCAAGCCAGCCCCCUGGGGUAAUCCAGGCCAUGACUCAGGAACGUCAUGUUGGGACACCCGAGACCCCCAGCCCCUGCCCUAGGGGUCAGGGCAGCAGGUCCCAUCUCCCUUAGCUGGGCUGGGCCCAGGCAGCCUGUAUCACUGUUUGCUCCAGAGGCUGGGUGCGUCCUGCUUGGGGGCUGUGUGAGGCCCGCUUGUUUUCACCCACAGAUUCCCAGGGUUCUCAAGGCAGAGGAAAGCGACAAUUAGGGCAACACCCAUGUUGGUUGGAUCAGAGUGAAUCCCAGGCCUGCUUGGGAGGCUUUAGGCACUCAGCUCGGCCAUCUCUGAGGGUAAGGGCAUGUCAGCCACUCUGCUGGGGCAUCUCUGUGCUCAGCACCAUGUGGGCUCAUCACAGACACAAGAGUGCGUCCUCUCAGAGGGAAUGGUCUGGCAGGUUUUGCCUGUUUUCCUGCUCACAGGUUGAAUUUCUUGGCCAGCAUCCCAUAGCCAGGCCAGAGCGGAGCAGGGCUGCCUGCUGCACCCAGUGGCUUCUUGUCAAUCUCGGCCUCUCGUUCCCUGCCUGGGAGAGGGUCUCAGUGUGAAGGGCAGAGGGGUCUUCUGGAACCAGCCAGUGCUGUGUCGGAGAGAAAGACCAGGAGGAAAUUGGAGGGGUACAGGCCUGAAACUCUCCCGCUGCCUUGCCAGGCACCCAAACCUGCUUGACCUGAGUGUCUUUCCGGCGGCGGGUGGGGGGGAGGGGGGUGGGGCGUGCUGCAUCGCUUACUUUGCCUGUGUCUUAGGGGAGCCUACCCAUUGCCCUCCAGCACCGGCGAACAAAGACCCCCACGGUGGCCAGGCCUGUGCGGGGUGUAAACAGUGUCCCAGGGUGUCUUGGUGUCCUCACUACUACAUCCUCCACGUUCCAGAGGAGAAACUGAGGCCCGAGGACACCCAGAAUUUCCCAGGGUCACACCAAGGGGAAACAGGUGACGUUGAAGUGGACACAGGGUGAUGAGAGGGGUGCAGAAAAGGAGAUACCCUGGCAUGCCAAGCCUGGGGCUGGUUGUCCACAUCCAGGAAGGUCCCUGCAAGGUUGUGGCACCUUUUCAUGGCAAGCAGACGCAGCACCAUGAAUACCCACAGCCACUCCUAAGGGCCCCUUCAUGCGGUGGCUGUGCCCAGCACUGGGCACGCAGGAACCAAGGCCCAGAGAGUUCUGGGUGGGUGGGGAGAGCUAGAGCCUUCCUUCUGGGCUCCAGGGCUUUUCAGUAGCACCACUGGCUUUCUAGAAGGUUGCUGUGUGAUUGGAAACUUGUGCUUUGAGAUACGAUUAUCUGUGUGGGGAGGAGGUUGUACUGGAGUCAGCAGUGAGGGGUGGCAGCACUAGGCCAGAAAUGGAUGUGGGGUCCUCUUGCGUGGAGCUGCCACUCCCCCAGCCACUCUGUCCUUACAACCAAAACCCCAAAAGGGGGCUGAGCCGGCCCUUGUGAGUGAGAGUAGAGGAGAAGGAAGGGGCUGUGGGGGGAGAGAAGCACAUGGAGCUGGCCCACGUGGAGAGAGGGACCCUGGGUGGCAGGGUGGCGUUGGGGGAGAUUUGCCAUCAGAGUGACCUUAGUGACUGUGCCACCUCGACCCUGACCUGGGCAAUGCCUGUGAGGGCACUGGGGCCCAAGGUCCCAGAGGAGCAGGGGAACUAAGAUGUGGCUCUCACAGAACCUCAAAUGUAUCUCCAGACAUCCACAUAUCUGCACCUGACACACAUUUCUGGAACAGCUACUUGGCCAAGCACCACCAGUUUGUCUCUAUGCCCCUCUUGCUGGGGAGCCCAGUCUGGGGCAAAGGAAGGCACAGGGGCAUCCGCUCCAGGCUUUCCAGAAUAGGCAGAACACAGAAGGGGUGCCCGCCGGACACGCGGAGGGAGGAGAUGAGAAGAGUCCCCAGCGCCAGAAGGGGUGGAGACGGCCUUGCUGGGGCAGGGCCACAGGUCACCUGCUGCUGGGCUCUGGCUGCAGUGGGAAACAACCAAAGUUUUAAAAAGAGGGUGAACCUCUUAGGAAAGGAAAUGACAUUUAUAAAGAGGUAGGGACGUGGGGGCAGGGAUGAUGGCCUUGGUGGCCACAGCUCUUAAACCAGUGGGGAGGAGGCAGCCACGCCAGCAUGGUGAGAUCCAAGCCGCAGUGACGGGGCUGCACUCGCUCCAGGUAGAUUGCUCAAAUGGAAGCUUCUGGAUGGAUAACUAAGGCAGCACAACCCCCAGUCAUUGUCUGAGGGCCACCCUGGGGGAUGGAGCGAGUGCAGGCCAAGUGGAUGCAGGGCCCACGGCCAGUUUCCAGGGUGAGCUGCAGGGCAAGCCGUGGGAAGCCCCAGAGGCAGACGCUGAGGGAUGGGCACCCCAAGAGAGUCCAGGGAUCCGAGGCCACCUGGGUGGAGCCCGGACAGCGUCUACUCCAGGGAGCAAAGCUGAGGCAGGAGCCGAGGGCUUUCCAGUGGAUGUGGAGACUUCGGCUUACUCCCGCACUGACUUUAUCCCAUUUCUGAGCCUGUCGGCACGUGUAGAGCAUUUUGGGCUCAGUUUCUCUAGAGACUAACUGUGGCCUCCCAUGGGGUGGGGACAGGACAGUCUCCCGGCUGCAUGGAAUGGGAUGCCGACCGAGGGACGGGCUCUCUCUUAAAGACUUGCCACCACACCUCUCUUGUCCAUGCCAGGCUUCUGGGGUCCCCUCUGCUGCAGGUGCUUCGGGAGUCUCAGUGGUUCUUCAGGGCAAAGCUGGCCCUGACCGUGUGCUGCAUGCCCGGAGGUCUGACAUCGGUGCUGCUGAGUGGCCUGCCGUGGUUCUCUUGGUUUCCCAUCUUGCAAAGAGUCGGUGAACUCUCACCUGCUCUUGUCUCCUCGUCUCUGUGCCCUGUCCUCCUGCGGGGCUUGGGAAACCAUAGGUGAUAAACACAUGAGCCAAUCUGCCAUCUCCACUGGAGCCAAUGCUCUUUCUGUGUUCCCAUUGGCCUGCCUAGGACUGAGGUCAGCUCCAGGGUCAGAGGCAGGACUGGAGUUGGGUUCUAACUGAGGCAGAGACAGGGCUUGGGAGAAGAAAUCAAGGUGGAGGGCAGAGGCUCCAGGUCUUUGCCAGGCUCACCUCAGAAGUGGGUGUGUCAGGCUGUCCAGAGUGGAGUGCACAGAAGCUGGGGCUUUGACAAGGGCAGGGUGACCAGUCCAGGCUGGCCUCAAAGGCAAGAGCUUGACUGCAGGGCCAGCAGGCGUGUGAUGUGGGUGGGCCCUAAGGAGGCUGAGGGAGAGGAUAAACUGUGAAGAGCCAGCAGCCCAGAAGCUAAAUGCAGGGAGGCAGAGAAGACAGGAGAGAUGGAGGCUUGCAGGACCUGGUGGUUGGGGAGGGCCAGUGACCAGGUGUUUAGAAGCAGCACCUCCUGUGAUUGGGGCUGAGGGUGAACUCUGCUUUCAAGCAGAGGUGGUUUGUCGUGGGUCUUCCAUGAUGACACCAGGUCAAGGUAGGCUGUUAGCACUGAGGCCUGUGGGAAGGCGAGGCCCGUGGGCAGAGUCCCAGAAUGGGAGGAAAAUGAAGACAGCCACUGCAGGGACUUGGGUGUCAUUCUGAAGGAAGCCACUUAAUGGUAAAUGGAGCAACAACAUGGUAGCCUUUCCUCUGGGGGAGCCCAGAGACAAGGGGGGUCUGGGGAGGCAGGCAGGCAGGCAGGCAGGUCAGGCCAGGGAGGGGCUGUGCCCAGCAGGGAAUGGAUGGCACACUCCCUCCCAGAAAGGCUGCUGCAGGGCUCAGCACUCUGAACCUUAAAAGGUUUACCCAACAGAGCCUCCAGAUGCUCAGAGUCUUGCAGGCUCAGAACAAGAAUUGUCAACUUGCCAAGAUGAAUCUGUCUCUCGGGGGAGGACCCACACAGAACAAACGUUUGAAGCAGAAGUUUGCUUGGUAAACAUGGAAUCGGAACAUGGGAAUUGGGCCACUGGGAUAUUCAAUUGCGUCAGACCAUUGUAGCUGAUACUCCUGGACAGAGGGGCUUUGCCAACUGGACAGAUAUAUGAAGUGUUGCUGACCGAGCUCCUUGCUCUGUGUGGGAGGGAUCUUGCCAGCUCCAGCCUUGGUGGGUCUCCUUUUUCUGUUUCCAAGCUUAAAUAAGCACUUGGCUGUUCUGAUUAGCACUUUUAAAAGCUGUGUUAAUAAGUUCAAUUAAAAUAGAAGAAUCUCUCAUUCUGUCAUAUCGGGUUUUUUUAAUUGCAAACCAAUAAAACUUAAAUGAACUUGAGCAAAA